rnacentral:rRNA from 1 species
AACGAACGCUGGCGGCAUGCCUAACACAUGCAAGUCGAACGAGACCUUCGGGUCUAGUGGCGCACGGGUGCAUAACGCGUGGGAACCUGCCCUUAGGUUCGGAAUAACUCCCCGAAAGGGGUGCUAAUACCGGAUAAUGUCUUCGGACCAAAGAUUUAUCGCCUUUGGAUGGGCCCGCGUUGGAUUAGCUAGUUGGUAGGGUAAAAGCCUACCAAGGCGACGAUCCAUAGCUGGUCUGAGAGGAUGAUCAGCCACACUGGGACUGAGACACGGCCCAGACUCCUACGGGAGGCAGCAGUGGGGAAUAUUGGAAAAUGGGCGAAAGCCUGAUCCAGCAAUGCCGCGUGAGUGAUGAAGGCCUUAGGGUUGUAAAGCUCUUUUACCCGGGAUGAUAAUGACAGUACCGGGAGAAUAAGCCCCGGCUAACUACGUG